rnacentral:rRNA from 1 species
CCUACGGGUGGCUGCAGUGGGGAAUAUUGCGCAAUGGGCGCAACCCUGACCCAGCGACGCCGCGUGAAUGAAGAAGUAUUUCGUGUUGUAAACUUCUUUUGUCAGGGAAGAGUAUGAGACUGUACCUGACGAAUGACCCACGUCUAACUACGUGCCAGCAGCCGCGGUUAUGCGUAGGUGGCAAGCGUUUUCCGGAUUUACUGUGUGUAAAGGGCGUGUAGACGGCUUGACAAGUCAGGUGUGAAAUCCUUGGGCUGAACCGUAGAACUGCAUGUGAAACUGUAGGUCUUGAGUAUGGGAGAGGCAGAGGGAAUGCCUAGUGUAGCGGUGAAAUGCGUAGAUAUUAGGAGGAACACCAGUGGCGAAGGCGGUCUACUGGACAGUAACUGACGGUGAGGCGCGAAAGCGUGGGGAGCAAACAGGAUUAGAUACCCGUGUAGUC